UUUGAUACAGAUGAUAACAUUUGUAAUUUAAAAAAAAAAUGCUAAUAUCUCAUAUUUGUUUCAGAGUGAAAUAAAUCUGCUGCAGUACAUAAAGAUUGAGGAAUAAGGAAAAUGGACUAAUAAGCAUCUACCACUGGAUAUUUCGCCCUGGAAUGUAAUUUGCAACGGGAAACGCGCAAAAGGGCGCGAAUCACCUAUUCCCUUAAAUCGAUAGAUAAUCUAGUGGUCGCCCACCAUGCCGGCGCGCAUACUGAGCGCGCGCGAGACGGUGGGCGAGGUCUCAGAAAGCCCCUUCGCCAACUACGAGUCCCUGACGCAGGCCGCCAUCAUCGGUGCCAUUGGCAUCGCCAUCGUCGCUUCUAACCUACUCAUCAUUGCUGCUUAUCUCAACUUUAAAGGUCUAUCCCACGAAGUGAUAAACUACUACCUACUGUC
rnacentral:lncRNA from 1 species